UUGGAAGACGACCGCCAACGUCCUCUUCACGGUGCCCCCAAGCACAAGGAGUUCGGAUAAAUCUGCUUGCAAGGCUCUCGAUGAUAUAUCCAUUUUCAUCAAUUGCUCAAGGGUGUGGUCAGUUGGAGAAGACAUUACUAUGAUUUUUUUUCAGAGGAUGGCGAAGGAGGUGCAGGGAGCUGACGGCAUAUCCGCGGUGAGUGGUGAUGGAGGAACAGCCGCACACUUGAUGGCUUGGUGCAGGGCGGUGAGGGCGCCGACCAGGAAGGCGAUGCCAUUGCCGGGCGUCGAGGUCGUAGUCCCGGAAGCCGACGAUGCUUCCGUGCGGCGAGGGGAUAAGCCUGGGGAUCUGUUGCUUAUUUUAUGGGAUAUAUGUUAUGUUUUUCUUUG